AUUGAACGCUGGCGGCAUGCCUUACACAUGCAAGUCGAACGGUAACAGGUCUUCGGAUGCUGACGAGUGGCGAACGGGUGAGUAAUACAUCGGAACGUGCCCGAGAGUGGGGGAUAACGGAGCGAAAGCUUUGCUAAUACCGCAUACGAUCUCAGGAUGAAAGCAGGGGACCGCAAGGCCUUGCGCUCACGGAGCGGCCGAUGGCAGAUUAGGUAGUUGGUGGGAUAAAAGCUUACCAAGCCGACGAUCUGUAGCUGGUCUGAGAGGACGACCAGCCACACUGGGACUGAGACGCGGCCCAGACUCCUACGGGAGGCAGCAGUGGGGAAUUUUGGACAAUGGGCGCAAGCCUGAUCCAGCCAUGCCGCGUGCAGGAUGAAGGCCUUCGGGUUGUAAACUGCUUUUGUACGGAACGAAACGGCUCUUUCUAAUAAAGAGGGCUAAUGACGGUACCGUAAGAAUAAGCACCGGCUAACUACGUGCCAGCCGCCGCGGUAACAC
rnacentral:rRNA from 1 species